rnacentral:lncRNA from 1 species
AUCCAUAGCUAGUUUUGUUUUUCCAGCUUCUCAUUAGUGAGAGACACUGCAGCCUGCGGGUUAAAAAAAACAGGCUCUGAAGUCUAAAAGAACUAGAUUCCACCUGACAUUUACUAAUCCUAUGAUCUUGGACAAGCGGUUUUUAACUUCUCAGUUAAAAUCUCUCAGUCUUGGUUUCCUUCCCUGCAAGAUGUGGACAAUGGCUUCUCGGAGUUUGGAGAGGAUUGGCGCAGGUCUCCUCUUGGUCCCUGCCACAGGGUUAGAGCUUAGACCUCAAUCCACAGUGAUGACUCUUCUACCCCAUUCCCUAAGAACAGAGUCAGCGAUGGGUUCCUAAGAGAAGGAGAUGCAGCUGUCACCCAGGUCAAGUGCAAAGCUAGCUUUCCUUGCAGUGACUGUGUCCCCCUGCUGCAGGGUCCCAAAUCCUUCAACUUCAAGUCAACAAUGAAUUUGCUACAAUUUCAAAUGCUGCUUCACCUGGCCCAACUGUAUACCGUAGCAUUCUCAUACAGGGGAAACCAAUGAGGAAUUAAGUCUUUUCCUGAACAUUAAAAAAAAAAAAAAAAAAAAAAAAAAGGCUACUGAAAGAAGCCAGCCACCAAACAUCCUAUGUGUUAUGUGUGUUUAUACAAAAUUUCCAGAGCUGGCAAAUCCGUGGAGACAGAAGGGAGAGUAGUGGUUGCCUGAGGCCGAGGGCGAGGGUGCGGAGUGACCGCAGAGGAGCACAGUGCCAUCCCUGGGGUGUCAGUGAAGAGAAAUGCACCUAAAAGUUAGCAGGGUUUAUGCGGUGGAUCUUCUGAGGACUACAAGCCCGGGAGAGAGGAUUCUCGGACGGCUCGGAGGGACUGAAGAGGGAAGGGAGAAGCCAGGAUAUACAGGAAUUUCUGCCACAAAGACCAGAGAGUCGGGUCGUUCCCGUCGUGGCUCAGUGGUUAACGGAUCUGACUAGGAACCAUGAGGUUGAGGGUUCAAUCCCUGGCCUCACUCAAUGUGGACAAAGAAAAAAACAUUUUUUUUUUUGAGAAGAAGUCUAUGAAUUUGAUUACUUUGCCGUCUACGUUUAGGCACAGGUCAGGAAUGCCUGACUGUCGGGUGUUCUGGUGUAUACUUUUUGCUAAACUCGGCCAUUAUGUUAAUCACAAUCCUUCUCCACCAUGUUCCAGCUAACAAAGAAUUGUUCCAAACAUCCUUAAAGUGCUUUAAAUUGGGAAGCUUCCACACAUACGAAAGGCAAAGAAAAAGGACAUGGGAGAGAAGCUGUGCUAAGCUGUGACGACCCAUCUCAGCUUUUCCAAAGGACCCAGUCUGGUGUAGUAAGGGGGCUUCACCUUAAAGCCCUAUAUUCACUGGUUCCCCCUACCUGUGCCCCCAGGCGCUCUCUCCUCACUGCAUGUGUGUAUGAAUGUGUAUUUUUUUUUUU